GUACCAACAAAUAUGGACUUCAGCUUCCCUAUGCUCUCUUUACUGCAGGGAAAGUACUGGGAGAAUCAAAAAAAUAAUGUGACUCACAGUUUGCUGCUAGCAGAUACAAGAUGCUUUUGAGAAUCCUUCAGCCUUGGUUUUGACUUGUUUUGCCAUUGGUUAUUUUUUUUCCACUUUUUUCUUCUGAGAGUACAGAUGAAGCAUUUACAACAAUUUUUAAAAAACUGGCAACACUAUUAAAUGAUACUAACUCCAUAUAGUACCUAAUUUAAAAUAAAAGGAACUUUUGCUCUCA
rnacentral:lncRNA from 1 species